UCACAAAUCAGACGACUACAUUCACAGUUAGCAAAGACAUGCGGGAAAACUGUGAGCUGAUGAAAGUCUGUGAUUCGUUGCUACUUUAGCUGCAGGAUUUCAAACAGAACUGAACUGUGCAGUCAAAAUGUUUCUAAUGUUUUCAGAAUCGUUCUGGAGGUUCAUCAUUGUGUCUGUGGGUUUAGCAGCACUCAUAAUAAUUGUUGUGGCAGUCAACAUCUGGACAAGAACUAAAGGGACAAAAACACAGAUGGAUGAAAACACAGUGAGUUUAUAAUGUUUUUACAGUUGGUACUUUACACAGCAAACCAGUGUUUGUGACAUCUGUUCUUCAUUCUGAAGUGUAGAUAUAGAUAGAAGAAGACAAACAGAAACAGGACUCACUGAGUUGUACUGAAGUGGCCGUAGCAGCAAAGUUCACAGGAUUCAUUGCA